rnacentral:rRNA from 1 species
GACCUUCCGGGAGCUUGCACAGGUGCUGCAUGGCUGUCGUCAGCUCGUGUCGUGAGAUGUUCCGGUUAAGUCCGCUAACCGAGCGCAACCCUCGCUGUGUGUUAUAUGUGUCACACGGGACUGCCGGUCUUAAGCCGGAGGAAGGUGGGAUGAUGUCAAGUCAGCAUGGCCUUUAUAUCCUGGGCUACACACACGCUACAAUGGCCAACACAAUAGGUUGCUAAGCCGCGAGGUGGCGCCAAUCCAUAAAGUUGGUCUCAGUUCAGAUUGUAGGCUGCAACCCGCCUGCAUGAAGAUGGAGUUGCUAGUAACCGCAGGUCAGCUAUACUGCGGUGAAUACGUUCCCGGGGCUU